AGCAGUUCUCAGGUGACGCACCCCAGAAUCGGGCUCCCUCCUCUCUGGUUCUGGGUGUGUCACGGGUGAACCACG
rfam:Myotis lucifugus cont2.22539, whole genome shotgun sequence.